AUUGAACGCUGGCGGCAUGCCUUACACAUACAAGUCGAACGGUAACGGGCCUUCGGGUGCCGACGAGUGGCGAACGGGUGAGUAAUACAUCGGAACGUGCCCGAUCGUGGGGGAUAACGAGGCGAAAGCUUUGCUAAUACCGCAUACGAUCUACGGAUGAAAGCAGGGGACCGCAAGGCCUUGCGCGGACGGAGCGGCCGAUGGCAGAUUAGGUAGUUGGUGGGAUAAAAGCUUACCAAGCCGACGAUCUGUAGCUGGUCUGAGAGGAUGAUCAGCCACACUGGGACUGAGACACGGCCCAGACUCCUACGGGAGGCAGCAGUGGGGAAUUUUGGACAAUGGGCGCAAGCCUGAUCCAGCCAUGCCGCGUGCAGGAUGAAGGCCUUCGGGUUGUAAACUGCUUUUGUACGGAACGAAAAGCCUUCUUUUAACACAGGAGGGUCAUGACGGUACCGUAAGAAUAAGCACCGGCUAACUACGUG
rnacentral:rRNA from 1 species